UAUGCUUAGGGCUACACACGUGCUACAAUGGGUAGUACAGAGGGUUGCCAAGCCGUAAGGUGGAGCUAAUCCCUUAAAGCUACUCUCAGUUCGGAUUGUAGGCUGAAACUCGCCUACAUGAAGCUGGCGUUACUAGUAAUCGCAGAUCAGAAUGCUGCGGUGAAUGCGUUCCCGGGUCUUGUACACACCGCCCGUCACACCACGGGAGUUGGAGACGCCCGAAGCCGAUUAUCUAACCUUUUGGAAGAAGCGUC
rnacentral:rRNA from 1 species